UCUCAUAGCUAGCUAAUAAUCCCACUGUUCAGGAAAACAGGUUUUUCCUCUGGAAGAACUCAUCUCACACCAUUGUAGUCAAAUGUUUCCAAGUACUACCUUGAUGUUCCACAAAAGGUUAAAAAAAUGGUGAUCCCUAAAAGUGAAGUACUGCUUGAAAUGCCUUGGAUUGUCUUCGUGAAGAGCUUGAUGCUUCCAUAACAACUGUAUAAUAACUUAACAAGAAACAACAACAACAAAAAAGUUCAACAAUUAGGAGGUUGUCGAUUUUUUCAUUUCUCUCUGAUAAUCCAAAGGAAUAGACCUGGGAUGUUUCAAAUCUGGUUUCUUGCAGAGAUGCUUAAUUUUCUGAUGGUGCAGUGCAUUGUUGCUUGCUGAUUAAACCUGCAUAGGACAAUGCUUAAUGUAAAACCAGUCUUGAAGGAAUUUGUGACUGCAGAGAGUU
rnacentral:lncRNA from 1 species